UACAGAGGGUGCGAGCGUUAAUCGGAAUUACUGGGCGUAAAGGGUGCGUAGGUGGUUAUAUAAGUUAGGUGUGAAAGUCCCGGGCUUAACCUGGGGAUUGCGCCUGAUACUGUGUAGCUAGAGUGCUGUAGAGGAAAGUGGAAUUUCCGGUGUAGCGGUGAAAUGCGUAGAUAUUGGGAGGAACACCGGUGGCGAAGGCGACCACCUGGACGGUAACUGACGCUGAGGCGCGAGAGCGUGGGUAGCAAACAGG
rnacentral:rRNA from 1 species